GAAUGAGAUGACGAUGAUUGUGUUUCCCUAUUGGUUUGAUCACCGGGAUGAUGGUGUCUACUUCUGUAUUAGCUCUACCUGAUCAUUC